rnacentral:rRNA from 1 species
CCUACGGAGGCAGCAGUGGGGAAUUUUGGACAAUGGGCGCAAGCCUGAUCCAGCAAUGCCGCGUGCAGGAUGAAGGCCUUCGGGUUGUAAACUGCUUUUGUACGGAGCGAAACGGUCUGCCCUAAUACGGUGGGCUAAUGACGGUACCGUAAGAAUAAGCACCGGCUAACUACGUGCCAGCAGCCGCGGUAAUACGUAGGGUGCGAGCGUUAAUCGGAAUUACUGGGCGUAAAGCGUGCGCAGGCGGUUAUGUAAGACAGAUGUGAAAUCCCCGGGCUUAACCUGGGACCUGCAUUUGUGACUGCAUAGCUAGAGUACGGUAGAGGGGGAUGGAAUUCCGCGUGUAGCAGUGAAAUGCGUAGAUAUGCGGAGGAACACCGAUGGCGAAGGCAAUCCCCUGGACCUGUACUGACGCUCAUGCACGAAGACGGUGGGAGGACGAAACAGGAGUAGUAUACCUACGGUAGUACCGACCGACCCUAAACCGAACUAGUACAACUAGGUUGGUUGGGUUCGUUCUACU